GCGCCAUUAGCUCAGCAGGAUAGAGCGCACGCCUCCUAAGCGUGAGGCCACUGGUUCGAAUCCAGUAUGGCGCGCCA
rnacentral:tRNA from 2 species